rnacentral:lncRNA from 1 species
CUGCUUUGUUCACCUGGGGUUUGCUCUUAAUCACAGUUUCUAUGUGUACUCUGCUCUCUCAUUUGGGCUGCCACUUCGGUUUGAGCUUCCAAUUUUAAUUUCAGAUGCCUGUAUUUAUCCUGCCUGGUAUACCUAGAUAAGAAUCAUUGAUUGCUACUUCUUCUUGACCACUGGCAGAUGGUGUUUUAGGCUUCCAGCUUUGAGAGAGAUGAUGGACAACCCCACUUCAGGUUGCUGAAGGGAAUAAAAACACUCUGGGAAGAACAUAACCUGAGAGAAGCUGGCAGUCUCCAUCAUGUCUUAUCCCCUGUAUGCUACACCAGAGACUUUGGGGAAUUUCCCCUUUGGGGAGCAGGUGGCUACAUGACUU